rnacentral:rRNA from 1 species
GAUGAACGCUGGCGGCGUGCCUAAUACAUGCAAGUCGAGCGAACGGACGAGAAGCUUGCUUCUCUGAUGUUAGCGGCGGACGGGUGAGUAACACGUGGAUAACCUACCUAUAAGACUGGGAUAACUUCGGGAAACCGGAGCUAAUACCGGAUAAUAUUUUGAACCGCAUGGUUCAAAAGUGAAAGACGGUCUUGCUGUCACUUAUAGAUGGAUCCGCGCUGCAUUAGCUAGUUGGUAAGGUAACGGCUUACCAAGGCAACGAUGCAUAGCCGACCUGAGAGGGUGAUCGGCCACACUGGAACUGAGACACGGUCCAGACUCCUACGGGAGGCAGCAGUAGGGAAUCUUCCGCAAUGGGCGAAAGCCUGACGGAGCAACGCCGCGUGAGUGAUGAAGGUCUUCGGAUCGUAAAACUCUGUUAUUAGGGAAGAACAUAUGUGUAAGUAACUGUGCACAUCUUGACGGUACCUAAUCAGAAAGCCACGGCUAACUACGUGCCAGCAGCCGCGGUAAUACGUAGGUGGGCAGCGUUAUCCGGAAUUAUUGGGCGUAAAGCGCGCGUAGGCGGUUUUUUAGUCUGAUGUGAAAGCCCACGGCUCAACCGUGGAGGGUCAUUGGAAACUGGAAAACUUGAGUGCAGAAGAGGAAAGUGGAAUUCCAUGUGUAGCGAUGAAAUGCGCAGAGAUAUGGAGGAACACCAGUGGCGAAGGCGACUUUCUGGUCUGUAACUGACGCUGAUGUGCGAAAGCGUGGGGAUCAAACAGGAUUAGAUACCCUGGUAGUCCACGCCGUAAACGAUGAGUGCUAAGUGUUAGGGGGUUUCCGCCCCUUAGUGCUGCAGCUAACGCAUUAAGCACUCCGCCUGGGGAGUACGACCGCAAGGUUGAAACUCAAAGGAAUUGACGGGGACCCGCACAAGCGGUGGAGCAUGUGGUUUAAUUCGAAGCAACGCGAAGAACCUUACCAAAUCUUGACAUCCUUUGACAACUCUAGAGAUAGAGCCUUCCCCUUCGGGGGACAAAGUGACAGGUGGUGCAUGGUUGUCGUCAGCUCGUGUCGUGAGAUGUUGGGUUAAGUCCCGCAACGAGCGCAACCCUUAAGCUUAGUUGCCAUCAUUAAGUUGGGCACUCUAAGUUGACUGCCGGUGACAAACCGGAGGAAGGUGGGGAUGACGUCAAAUCAUCAUGCCCCUUAUGAUUUGGGCUACACACGUGCUACAAUGGACAAUACAAAGGGCAGCGAAACCGCGAGGUCAAGCAAAUCCCAUAAAGUUGUUCUCAGUUCGGAUUGUAGCCUGCAACUCGACUACAUGAAGCUGGAAUCGCUAGUAAUCGUAGAUCAGCAUGCUACGGUGAAUACGUUCCCGGGUCU